AAUAAUGUGGCACACAAUGGAAUAAUAAUGCCAUAAAAAUCAAUGAUCUCCUGUUAUUUGACUCAAAAUGGAAAAAUCUGGAAGAAAAAAUGGUAAAUGAAUAAGCCAGUCUAUUAAAGGACAUAUCUCACAAGUGUUAAAAGAACAAAAUCACAGUAUGCCCUCUGUCUUGCUCAAAGCUGCCCACUUCUGGAAGUUGCUUGAGGGAAAGUCACCUGACCACUGCCUAACAAAUAUCCAAAUGGAGCUAAGCAGGACCUCUGUAGGGUGAACAACUGGCAGGAGUGAAUCACAACCCCAGUCUUGCUGAUUUAAGACAUUUAUUUCGAUGCACCUCAGAAUUUAUGAACUGACCUGCUGAUCUAAGGACUAACUGGCUUCCUCAUUCUAAACAGAAAAAUUCUUGCUUUCUUAAACAUUACCAACGGUAUAUCCACUGGAAAGGCACAUUGAUGCUGUCAGAGCAAGCAUGCAGGAGUCUAACAGCUAAUGGCCUUGUAUUUGGGGAACUCUCACAGAGGCAGCCGAAAGUGCCUAAAGUCGGGAUUGGGGUCCCUGAAUGAA